rnacentral:tRNA from 1 species
UAUAGCUCAGUGGUAGAGUGCAUAGGAUGCAUGAGGUCCUGGGUUCAAUCCCCAGUA